rnacentral:rRNA from 1 species
UCUGCCCCCGGGUCCGCGCGCACCGGAGACACCAUUGAACUCUGUCUGAAGAUUGCAGUCUGAGCAUAAACUAAAUAAGUUAAAACUUUCAACAACGGAUCUCUUGGUUCCGGCAUCGAUGAAGAACGCAGCGAAAUGCGAUAACUAAUGUGAAUUGCAGAAUUCAGUGAAUCAUCGAGUCUUUGAACGCACAUUGCGCCCCCUGGUAUUCCGGGGGGCAUGCCUGUCCGAGCGUCAUUGCUGCCCUCAAGC